UAGGUGGUAGUAUAAUUUGGUAGUACGUAGGGUUUUGGACCCUGUGGUGCGGGAUCGUGUCCCGUUUGCCUAG
rnacentral:tRNA from 1 species